AAUCACACAUAUUCUAUUCAUUUCCAUGCACUUUCUCUCUCCUCAACCAUUUUCUCUCUCCUCAAUUGCAAUGAGCUUUCUCUAUCAAAUUGGGUAUAAUUUGCUGCAAAAUCUUCUCGAUCUUGCUGAAAUUGCUUCAAAUUUGUCAAGAUCUUGUUGGAAAUUCAAUUUUUCUUGUUUAAUUUGGUGAAUUCAAGCCAAAUUUCUUCUACGACUCUGAAUUUUGAGUGGCAUUUGAGAUUUGACUGGAUUGUGCUGCAAAUAUCACUCGAUUUGAUAAUUCAGAACACGGUAAAGCUAUUAUUUACAUUAUAUGUCCGUGUUGCGGGGAGGCCCAGGAAACAAUAAUGUAUGCUCUUUUUUUAGUGUAGUGAAGCUCGGAUGAUACGGUCUAUGGACUCAAUUUGGAAAGCUUUCGGUGCAUGGUUUGUGUUUAAGGCAAGAGAAUUAAAGAAUGGAGAGGGCACUCCAGCAGGAGCGGGCGUGCACCCCUCAGGAGCGGGCGCUCCGAUCUUUCUGCCAACUUUCUGCCAAAGCUUCAAGAAUUGCACACCCUGUGAGGAGCGAGCGUGCAGCCUUGAGGAGCGGGCGCUUCUGGCUGUGGAGCGGGCGCUCCUCGCUGGGAAAUCUGUUUUCUUUGACGGAUUUCCCUAUGCGUUACGGGGAGUAUAAAUACUUCCUCCUUUAUUCAUUUGUAACCUAGACAGAUAUAGCCUAGUUUUUAGAGACUCCUCUUAGUUUGAAACAUUCCUUUUAAUUAAUUUAGCUUAAUUUUCAUCAAUUCAAUCAUUGUAAUAGUUGGUUUCAAGUUUGUUUCUCAAGAUUGGCACUUUGUAUUCAACAAUUUCAAGCCUCAAUUAGUAACUUCCUUCUACUUUUCUCCAUUUAA